rnacentral:rRNA from 1 species
GGGGAACUAACCUAUCAAUAAGCGGAGGAAAAGAAACUAACAAGGAUUCCCCUAGUAACUGCGAGUGAAGCGGGAAAAGCUCAAAUUUAAAAUCUGGUGGUCUUUUGGCCAUCCGAGUUGUAAUUUAGAGAAGCGUCUUCCGCGCUGGACCGUGCACAAGUCUCCUGGAAUGGAGCGUCAUAGAGGGUGAGAAUCCCGUCUUUGGCAUGGAUCCCAGGGCUUCUGUGAUGCGCUCUCAAAGAGUCGAGUUGUUUGGGAAUGCAGCUCAAAAUGGGUGGUGAACUCCAUCUAAAGCUAAAUAUUGGCGAGAGACCGAUAGCGAACAAGUACCGUGAGGGAAAGAUGAAAAGCACUUUGGAAAGAGAGUGAAACAGUACGUGAAAUUGUUGAAAGGGAAACGCUUGAAGUCAGUCGCGUCGACCGAGACUCAGCCUCGCCUUGGCUUGGUGUACUUCUCGGCUUGACGGGUCAGCAUCAAUUUUGAUCCUUGGAUAAUGGCAAGGGAAAGGUAGCACCUUUACAGGUGUGUUAUAGUCCUCUGUCGGAUGCAAGGGUCGGGAUUGAGGAACUCAGCACGCACCUUUAGGUGUCGGGGCCUUGGCCUACGUUACGUGCUUAGGAUGUUGGCGUAAUGGCUUUAAACGACCCGUCUUGAAACACGGACCAAGGAGUCUAACAUGCCCGCGAGUGUUCGGGUGGAAAACCCGUGCGCGUAAUGAAAGUAAAAGUUGGGACCUCUGUCGUGGAGGGCACCGACGCCCGGACCAGACCUUCUGUGACGGCUCUGCGGUAGAGCGUGUAUGUUGGGACCCGAAAGAUGGUGAACUAUGCCUGAAUAGGGUGAAGCCAGAGGAAACUCUGGUGGAGGCUCGUAGCGAUUCUGACGUGCAAAUCGAUCGUCAAAUUUGGGUAUAGGGGCGAAAGACUAAUCGAACCAUCUAGUAGCUGGUUCCUGCCGAAUUCCCCCUCCAGAAA